rnacentral:misc_RNA from 1 species
GGCUCAAGUUUGUCCCAUAGUUUUCUUAAUUCCUUCAAAACUAGGGGUUUACUCUUAUUCUCAACAGUGGUGAAUCCAGUUUUAGUACAGUGGGAUUGAUGCUGCAUGAAAACAAUCAUCAUAAAUUAGAAUGGUAUUGCACAAAAUGACUACAGAACAGAAAUUCAGCAGGUAACAGAUAUUAUGGCCUUGAAGCACCUAACACUAACAGUGGUUGAAAUGUUCCAUCAAAACACAUAAAAUACAAGCACCUAGAGUUACAGUUUUUAACACCUAACCUGAUGCAAUUUUUAACUCUAUCUUCCUUAAGAGUUCGGAUGCUCAGUCAAAUAUCACUCCACCUCCCAAAAGGGAAAAAUGAUUGUUUGGGUAUUUUGAGACAAAAAGUUCAGACUGGCGAAAAGAUGUCAUCUGUUGAGCAUAACAUCAUUGACAAUGCCACAGAACAAUAGGUUACAAUGAUCAAAACCAGAAACCAACAUCAAAAUCAGGCAUUGAUGUUGCAAUAAUGUAGUAUCCGUAGGAUUUACAGUCAAAUUUCCUUGUGAAGAGUAUUCAAAAACUUUGCACAGCAUUAAACAAACUUCUAUCUCCAAAAUGAUUCAGGAACUCCAGUCAUCUUUCACACAUCAACGGUGCAAUGUUCAUAAUUUAAACAGCAAAAUGAACUUUAUAGAAUGAACAUAUUGGAUAAUAUUUAGUUUCAGGCUCUCAUAUGAUGUUUACCCAUUUAUGUGGCCCAAACUAAAUUAGAAACCAAACCAAUAUUUUCAGUUUUAUUUUGUUUAGCUGAUUUAUCCAGAACACCCCAUCCCCACCAACACCCCCCCCCCG